rnacentral:lncRNA from 1 species
GAAGUAAAUUCUGGCCUUUAAAGUUUGUGACAUCAAGAUGGAAUGAUUCUCCUUCAUGACAGCACACAUGUGUUCUUAAAAUCAUCACAAAAGCCUGACUUUUAUAUUUACAAUUUCCUGAGAACUCGUUGUUCAGUAGUGAAAUCUCUGCAGAUAACCUUAAAGUGAAUACAACUUAAUGUUACUUUAAGGCUUAUCAGAUAGUCAUUUAAGGAACUUUCUGCUUCUCAUCAUGCACAACUUCCACUCAUGGAAUGGAAUAUGCUUCACAACAGGGCUUUGGAAUUUUUAAAAGAAAGAUAAAACAAGCAAACUACAGCAACAACAAAUCCCUACAUUUCUUCCUUAAUGAAUUAUUGACCAUAAAUCAAAAACUGGUAUUCCACUGUCUCCAUAGCAGCUAGCUAACCUUAUGGACUAUUUUUAUUUUGGGUUCUGCCCCCUUGAGAUGCUGGGGUUUUCAAGGAAUGUGAAGCUUUACCAUAUACUAUAGAACCUGAGUAGUUGAUGGCUUUCAGAAAGGACUUUGUAAUUUGAAAUAUUGAGCCCAGAAAAGAAGCUGUAUUGAAGAGCUGAAGAAAAUUUGGCACAUCCGGUUUCUUAUGUACUGAGUUUCAUUUGAAGGUUGGAGUUAACUUUGUUUUGGUGAACUUUGUUAGCUAACUCAUUUUAUAAUUUCAGCAUAUUACUGCAGAAUACUGCAGAAUAUGGGAUCACAAAUAUAAAUAUAUUAAUUACUUGGUAAGCAUACACAUUAGCUUUCUUCUUUGGAUUGGCAUCCUCCCCAGACCACCAAUAAAAACUUCAGACAGGUUAAGAAAUAGUGACAUUUUUGCUUCUUUUGAAGAGAUAUGGUUUCUAACUGUGGAUAUAGAAUCCUGUUAUCCUACUGUCUUCUUGGAAAACUCUUACCAAGAUGGGAAUACAGAUUCAGAUGCUUCUUGAAAAAUAUGACAGCUGCCAUAAAACAAGACAGCAUGAUCUAUCAUGACAGUAAGAGUUUUGUUCACUAAAGGAUAAAGUGAAACGUUUUUAAGAAAAGGAGGACUUAAGAAAUCUGCUGCUGGAGGCAGCAGAAUAUUCU